rnacentral:rRNA from 1 species
GUGGCCGGUUGCGAGGUGCUGCAUGGUUGUCGUCAGCUCGUGCCGUGAGGUGUCGGGUUAAGUCCCAUAACGAGCGCAACCCCUACUGCUAGUUGCCAGCGGGUCAUGCCGGGGACUCUAGCGGAACUGCCAGCGUAAGCUGCGAGGAAGGUGGGGAUGACGUCAAGUCAUCAUGGCCCUUAUGUCCAGGGCGACACACGUGCUACAAUGGCCGGCACAACGGGAAGCGAGUUCGCGAGGACGAGCGGAUCCCUCAAAGCCGGUCGCAGUUCGGAUUGAAGUCUGCAACUCGACUUCAUGAAGCUGGAAUCGCUAGUAAUCGUGGAUCAGCCAAGCCGCGGUGAAUACGUUCCCGGGCCUU